UCAGGCUGCCAGCCACUGGCCCCUCAUUGACCGAUGGCUAAGGGCAGGGGGGCAUUGUCUUUGAGCCUGGUUCCUCUCCCCUUCCCCGCCCGUCCCUGUUACUCUGAAGCACUGGAGAGAAAAUGCCAAAUAUCAGGUGCAGUCCAUGGAAACCACCACAGUGAAACACAGCAAAUCACAGAUGCUCUGGAGAAAUGGAGACCACACAGCGCACAGAGAGGCCUGAGGAGGAUCGAGAUGAAAUACUGUAUGGAAAAUGUCGAGUGCAGCACAUCGUUAAUGUAUAAUCGAUGUCAGCUACCGCUAUUCAAAAGUGUGGCUUCCAGAGACAGGCUGACCAGGGGACCAGGAUCGGCCCAAAGAAGCCAGCCGUUAACUCAGGUUGGAAGGUGCCCAGAAGUACUCUGCAAGCCACAGCGUCUACAGGAAGCGCCCAGGUGGCCACGGCUCUCAAGAGGAAUCCACACUAGUUCCUGCCACCCUGUUUCUGCACGUGCUGUUCUUUCCACCUGGGAUGCCCUUUCUCCCUGCUCUGCCUGGCUAAGUUCUCAUCAUGGUCCUCUAAGGCAGUUCAAGAACUCCAUGACUACGACCCCAGCCCCGCACCCAGGGCCGGGAUGGGUCCUUCUGUGGGGCUUCCUUGGGCAUAGCCCAGAGCACAAAGAGACGCAGCUCUUACUUUGAUAAACAUUAUUAAAUGAAUAAAUGAAUGAGAAGCA